rnacentral:rRNA from 1 species
UACGGAGGGUGCGAGCGUUGUCCGGAACCAUUGGGCGUAAAGGGCGCGUAGGUGGCCCAGUCAGCGUGCGGUGAAAGCUCGGGGCUCAACCCCGAGUCGGCCGUGCGAACUACUGGGCUGGAGCACUGUAGAGGCAGGCGGAAUUCCGGGUGUAGCGGUGGAAUGCGUAGAGAUCCGGAAGAACACCGGUGGCGAAGGCGGCCUGCUGGGCAGUUGCUGACACUGAGGCGCGACAGCGUGGGGAGCAAACAGG